UACGGAAGGCAGCAGUGGGGAAUAUUGCACAAUGGGCGAAAGCCUGAUGCAGCUAUGCCGCGUGUAUGAAGAAGGCCUUAGGGUUGUAAAGUACUUUCAUCGGGGAGGAAAAAACAAAACUAAUAAUUUUAUUUCUUGACGUUACCCGAAAAAGAAGCACCGGCUAACUCCGUGCCAGCAGCCGCGGUAAUACGGAGGGUGCUAGCGUUAAUCAGAAUUACUGGGCGUAAAGAGCACGUAGGUGGUUUUUUAAGUCAGAUGUGAAAUCCCUGGGCUUAACCUAGGAACUGCAUUUUGAAACUGAAAUACUAGAGUAUCGUAGAGGGAGGUAGAAUUCUAGGUGUAGCGGUGAAAUGCGUAGAUAUCUGGAGGAAUACCUGUGGCGAAAGCGGCCUCCUAAACGAAUACUGACACUGAGGUGCGAAAAGCGUGGGGAGCAAACAGGGAUUAGAUACC
rnacentral:rRNA from 1 species